UCCACACUGGGACUGAGACACGGCCCAGACUCUACGGGAGGCAGCAGUGGGGAAUAUUGCACAAUGGGCGCAAGCCUGAUGCAGCAACGCCGCGUGCGGGAUGACGGCCUUCGGGUUGUAAACCGCUUUUAGUAAGGAAGAAGGAGAGCUUGCUCCUUGACGGUACUUGCAGAAAAAGGACCGGCUAACUACGUGCCAGCAGCCGCGGUAAUACGUAGGGUCCGAGCGUUGUCCGGAAUUAUUGGGCGUAAAGAGCUCGUAGGCGGUUUGUCGCGUCUGCCGUGAAAUCCUCAGGCUCAACCUGAGGUCUGCGGUGGGUACGGGCAGACUUGAGUGGUGUAGGGGAGACUGGAAUUCCUGGUGUAGCGGUGGAAUGCGCAGAUAUCAGGAGGAACACCGAUGGCGAAGGCAGGUCUCUGGCACACUACUGACGCUGAGGAGCGAAAGCGUGGGGAGCGAACAGGAUUAGAUACCCUGGUAGUCCACGCCGUAAACGUUGGGCGCUAGAUGUGGGGCUCAUUCCACGAGUUCCGUGUCGUAGUAACGCAUUAAGCGCCCCGCCUGGGGAGUACGGCCGCAAGGCUAAAACUCAAAGGAAUUGACGGGGGCGCGCACAAGCGGCGGAGCAUGCGGAUUAAUUCGAUGCAACGCGAAGAACCUUACCAAGGCUUGACAUGANCCGAGAACGCCGCAGAAUGUGGAACUCUUUGGACACUCGGUUACAGGUGGUGCAUGGUUGUCGUCAGCUCGUGUCGUGAGAUGUUGGGUUAAGUCCCGCAACGAGCGCAACCCUCGUCGCAUGUUGCCAGCACGUUAUGGUGGGGACUCAUGUGAGACUGCCGGGGUCAACUCGGAGGAAGGUGGGGAUGACGUCAAAUCAUCAUGCCCCUUAUGUCUUGGGCUUCACGCAUGCUACAAUGGCCGGUACAAAGGGCUGCGAUACCGUAAGGUGGAGCGAAUCCCAAAAAGCCGGUCUCAGUUCGGAUUGAGGUCUGCAACUCGACCUCAUGAAGAGUCGCUAGUAAUCGCAGAUCAGCAACGCUGCGGUGAAUACGUUCCCGGGCCUUGUACACACCGCCCGUCAAGUCAUGAAAGUCGGUAACACCCGAAGCCGGUGGCCUAACCCUUGUGGAGGGAGCCGUCGAAGGUGGGAUC
rnacentral:rRNA from 1 species